rnacentral:lncRNA from 1 species
UCUGCACCCCCCCACCAAGAGCCGCCGUCCAGAGCUGGCGCAGGGUCUCCUCCAGCGUCUUCUGGGUGAUGUUUAUUCAUGGCCACGCUUCAUUCCUUCCAGGCUCAUUUCUGCAAACCCUUUCAGGGUCGUUAAGGAACAUGGAGAAGGCGGUGAGGCCCUGAGCUUUGAUCCUGCUGCUUAAUUGCUUUCACUAAUCACACCAAGAUCGAGAGGUUAAAAACAGCCCCCAGGGCCAGGUGAGCAGACCCCUUGAUGCGGGUGUUGGAGGGCAGCAAGGACGGGGCUCUAACAGACUCCUGGCGGCAACCUGAAAUCAUCUAAUUAAAUAAACCAACCUUAACCGCGGGAGCUGGGCAACCGUCUCCACACAGGGAGCAGGAAGGCCCUGCCAAAGCUGACAAGCCGCUUCCCUAGGCACCUGGCCAGCAAAGCGACGAAUCUCUCCUUUCUCCUCUCUCUUCCCUGGCCUCCCUCCCUGCUCUCUGUCCCUGUCUCUAUCACCCCUCUGGGUCUCUUUCUGUCCCCUCCCGUUCCAGUGUCAUUUCUUGAAAACAAACAAAAAAUCUUUUGAUUGACAAGUUUACGUUUUUGCCAUCCCUUCUCAUUGGGGAACAUUCUGGUAGCCAAUCCGUCUUCUUUACAACCUGACUUGAGACUCACCCCUGCAGGGCCAGGUGUAAGCUUGGCCUGUGGUCUGCACUACACUGCCCUGUCCCCAAAGGCCCUUGCUCAGCCUGGCCACCUGCCUCAAGAGCAGGCCCUGCCCAGUGUUCCCUGUUCUGAUGGUGCCCUGGGCGGCUCUGGUCAGUCCACAACGGAGCUGUGAAGCUCACAACUCUGUCCAGAGCCCUUGCAGGGAGGGCCUUCCAGAGCUGAGCUCCUUCCUGAACUCCCAGGACUCCCGUGUCCCCAGGGUCCAGCACUGGCUCCUGGGAGCUGAGGUGGAGGGUGCAGUGAACUCCAGGGGCAAGGUGCGGGCGGGCGGCGCUGGGGAAGAGCAGCACGGCCCCAGGGACAGUGCGUGUUCUGGAUGACGCCAUUCGAGGUCUGUUUUUAGUUCUGCUGUGGUGGGGAUGGUGCUGGUCUGUGACCUCGCGGGUUUAUUCUGCUGUUUUUGAUGGAUUCUACAAAACAACAUUUCCCAAACAGCUUUAGGUUCAACCGUUGAGUUCGACAAGCCUUGACUAAGUACUGGCCACGGGAGUUGAGAUGGGAGCGAGGUGACAACAAGUGGGUGACGAUGCCUCCAGGGUGCUUCCGGCACGGUGGGGACACAGACCAGCUGCUCCACAAAGACCCACCUGUUACCAGUGUCUGUCACAGCUUCUUGAGACACAGACUAACUGUGCUUUGAACAACAACACCAUCACACCGAAACAAAAUACCAAACCCACAAACCAACCCCACCACAACAGACAAACCCAAUGCUUUGAACUCAGAACCGCUAGCCAGGCCCUUAACCCAGAGGAGAAAAACCCAAAUCAGUCUUGAACUUGACUCGUGCCACCCAUGAGUGGCAGCAGUCCUGCGUCACCUCAGGGUGUCUGAGCCUCCUCGGGGGAGUGAGGAGAGCAUUCUGUGCUGUUGGGAGCCAGGCUUCUCGCUGCGGGGAAGGCGGAGACCUGUCCGCCUUCCCACACAGGACAGCAUUCUCUUGUUUAUGAUGUCGCUCUACAGUGUCCGUCUCCCCUGCACAGGGAUCUCUGACUACCUGGUUCACAGUGCGGGCAGGGGCUGGCAGGCGUGUGAACACGUGUACUGAUACGGGGUGACAGUGGACGCGUGGCUCAGGGCCAGGACAUGGAGAGGACCUGACGCCAAGACUGGAAGCCUUGGGACUGCAGCCUGCAGGAGGACAAGCUUCGCUCGGUCAAGGCUGACCUGGGUCUGGCCUCUGGGCCUGGGUAGGGGCUGUGACGGGAGGUUACAAGUGUCAGGAGCCCAGCUCACAGUCUUCUAGGGGACAAGGAGGAGCUGUCGGGGCCUCUUCAGUUCUGGGUGUGGUGCUCACUGGCAGCUGGGAUGGGGCUAGAUGGAGGUCACAGAUGCCACCUCUAGUGGCCUUGCAAAGCCACAUCACCAGACCUGCUGGAUUCAAGGCUGGACUGGCUCCUGACAGAGGAGCUGCUCUGUCCUUGUUUUGCAAUGGGCAGGACUGGGAGGCCUGAGCCACUCUUGCCACCUCCUCCCUGGGCAGCACAGCAGGGGUCUGGGCGGUGGUCAUGGCUCCCCCAGGCUGGCCCUCUCCUCUCUCCAGGGCCUCCUCCUCCUCAGCCUCCCUCAGGAAGGAACCUACCUGGCUUCCAGAACUGGUCUGGCAGCUAUUUCCAGGCCUAGGGCUGCCUCACAGGUGGUGUGACGCGGAAGUGGGGUGAUUCUAAGUUCCCUGCACAAGCCCUGCCCACCUCCAGAGACGCCCCCUCCCUUAGCAGGUCAGCAGCACCCUGCAUGCUCCACCCAGCCCUCAAGCCACCGCUGUCUGAGCAGACUGCAGCUUCCUCAUUCCCAGGAGCUGAGGAGCCAGGCCCUGGGGCCUCUGGGCUGUGUGGGCCAGCUCUGAGGGCAGCAGCUCCUGCGGGCGGACAGACAUGGACCGGCAGGCACCAGGGGAGGCGGGGGAGGGCCUGGGGCCUCAGCUCGGCUCCCGCUCAGCUCACAGCUGGGUCACGAGCACUGCUGGCCCGGUCCGUGGCCUCUCCGCAAAGGGAGGUUCAGCCCAGUCACCUGUUGGGGUGGUGAGCAGCAGAAGGCCAGAUCCGGAGAAGAGGCGGGUGUGGGAGGGGCGGGGCAGGCACGAUGGCCCUGUCCUCCACAGCAGAGGAACUGGGGCCUGGCUCGCACACCCCACUGUCCCAAACACUUACCUUUACCCCGCCCUUGUGCUCAGCUGAGGGCUCUGCCCGGAGUCCCCCUGGAGUGCCUUGGAGGUCUGGCUCUGAGGAGGCUGGGCAGCCCAGGCACAUUCGGAGAAAGCCCUGCUGCCCAUCUGUGAUGCAGGGGCCCUGAGGACACGUGGCCUCAGGUGGAUGACAGGAGGAAGGUGACUUGUUAAUGGAAAAGUGAAUGUUCACAUGCGUUACUUAGAGAGCGUGGAAGGAAGCGAACCCACCUUCAGCAUGGCCAUGAGCGAGGGCCGCUGCUCACAGGCUGCGGUUUCCCUCUGAUUGCCUUCCUCCAGGGCGUGCAGCUGGGAAACGGGGUUAGACCGCGUGCACGCCCAUCAUCUGUGUGUGUCUGGUUGAGUGCUGUUCCGCUGUUGACGUGGCUGAGCCCGUCGCAGCACACAUCAGUAUGUGGGAACUGAUUCAUGUAUUCAGCCAUGACUCUGCAUCCUUCCUGGGGUUUGUGUGACCAACUCUAAGUGAGUUGGGGCGUGGGGGUGGGGGCGGUGACCCUGGGGCUCAGAUGUGAGCAGGCAAGUUCUUGGGGAACGGGGACGCCGCUCUGAACUGGACUGAGGAAACCCCAGAAUGGGUCAGCUAGUAAAGGCUAGAGGAAGUCAAACCUGGAAAUCACAGCUCGUUCGACACUUCAACUACUGCAGAAGCCAUUCACGAGAGUUUAGCUGGUGGGUUUGUAAAAAGCUGUGAGAGGUAGGGAGAUUUUUAAAAGAUGUGUAAAAUCUUGCUUACAUUUCAAAGCUAAAACAUAAAAAGGUGUGUCUUCCCUUACCGUGAUUGUGGUCUGGGGUCUCCACUGGGCCUGGAAGUGGAACGGCAGUCCCCAGAGGUCAGUGGCAGUCAAACCUUGGGGUGAGGGGUGCUCACUAGUGGAAGGCUGGGGGCUCUUUAAGGUGCCAGGAUGUCCCCCUCUUGAGCCACGUGGUGGUCACGGGAGAAGGACUUGCCAAGUCUUGCAGUUAAGACCACGGGGCUUUGUGCACCUGAGGCCUCCAUGAAGAAUCUCAAAGCAAAGUGUGUGGAGAGAGGGGUGGUCUUGGGGUAAAAUGCCCUGGUGUUUAUGAUUUUCCAUCUUUCAUGGGUGUCUGCCCCACACUGAAAAACAGCAGUAAGAAAAGUCGCACUUUGGGAUCUUUCCAAAGUCACGUCCAACAACUUACUUCCAUAGAAACAACAAGCUGCUCUCCUCCCGUGCUCCUCCUCCCGCGGCUGCCUUGCUCGAUUGAUCGUGUGGUUGCAGUGUGUUUCGGGGAUCACACCACAAACGCUUGGGAAGCCUUAGACACACGCCACCCCUCCCGCACCCAGCAAGCCCCACAGGGAGCCAGAGCGUCCUGGAAGCUGGUGGCCAGGAGAGGUCAACUCCAGAUUGAGGACGCUGGGGGAAAACCUGCCCUCGCUGCCUUGACGAGGCCCCGCUGGCUCACCCCUGGUCCUGCUCCACUCCCCUGCGCCUUCGCGCUGUGCACAGGUCCAGGACUGAGCUGUGAGGGGCCUCGGCAGAGUCGCUGUUCUACCUGUUUAUUCGCCUGUGAUGCGGGAGCGUGGGCACUGCCCUUCCCGCAGUGACCGCACUAGCGUUGGUAAUGAGGCAGGAGAGCAGAUGCCGACACUCUGGUUCCACCCGGGCGGGCUGUGUGCACCUGGUGAAAUGUCACACCCAACGCCGUGACAGUACACUAACAGGUUACUGGAGAGGAGGAGGGGAGGGAGGGAGGAGAGACCUGUCCAGUGGCACCUGGCCCCUGGCCCCUGGACCCAGCAUCAGGGCCCGGCGGCUCUGUGGAGGGAGCUGGCCUGAUGCAGGGAGGGGUCUGGUGCCACCUCCUGCUUCCACCACAGCCUCAGGCCAUAGCCUUGUUGGAACCCGUGUUGGGCCCACACUGAGGCAAGACAAAGAGGAGAAGGAGGAUCCAAGAAGGACGGAAAGACUGGGAAGAAAACGGGGGCCUUUGGGGCCCAGAGUGGGCGUUCUCCACUGGUCUGCCUCAGCGCCACCCUUCACUUUCCUAAAGAAGGACGGGCACCAAAGGUGCUCUAGUACACGCCAGGGUACUCUGGAGACUACAGAGGAGACACACCCAGGUGAAGGGUGGCCCAAGCCCCAGGAGAGAAUGAUCUCUGCCUUGGCAGAGGUGAUUAAGGCACAAUUAAGUCAUUAGGGUGGGCCCUAAUUCUAUCCGACUGGUGUCCUCUGAAGAUGCCACGAGAAGACAAGACACCAGGAGAGAGACAACACAGCCGCCCUCAGGGAGCAGAGGGCCUGGGGCAGACCCUGCUCAGUCUGGGGACCUCCCAGAGGACUCCCGGAUCUCAGCCUUGGGGCUGGGAGAAGACGGACUUCUGCUAUGAGAUCUGUUCAGUGCGCGGUCCUAGCAAACCAACAGAGCCCGCCAUCAAAAAGCAGACGGCAGGGGCUGAGGAUGUGGCUCAAGCGGUAGCGCGUAGUGCACUCGCCUGGCCUGCGUGCGGCCCGGGUUCGAUCCUCAGCACCACAUACAAACCAAGAUGUUGUGUCCGCCGAGAACUAAAAAAUAAAUAUUAAAAAAAUUCUCUCUCUCUCUCUUAAAAAAGAAAAAAAAAACAGACGGCAGAUACUGCGUGCAGGGGAAGUGCCCAGGGUGCUCAGGGUGAAGAUGGGGAGCCACGUAUGUUUUGGACUCAGGCCCCUCAAGACGGGAGCUCUGAAGGUGCCCCAUGGGUGGGUGUGAAGAUGAGGUGGGGCCGGGAAAGGGCUGGUCAGGGCUGCUGGGCACACACUAGAGUCCUCCCCUCCUGCUACUUCUCCCUCCUGUGGACCAGGGUGGUGGGCAGGUGCCCU